AUUGAACGCUGGCGGCAGGCCUAACACAUGCAAGUCGAGCGGAUGAAGGGAGCUUGCUCCUGGAUUCAGCGGCGGACGGGUGAGUAAUGCCUAGGAAUCUGCCUGGUAGUGGGGGAUAACGUCCGGAAACGGGCGCUAAUACCGCAUACGUCCUGAGGGAGAAAGUGGGGGAUCUUCGGACCUCACGCUAUCAGAUGAGCCUAGGUCGGAUUAGCUAGUUGGUGGGGUAAAGGCCUACCAAGGCGACGAUCCGUAACUGGUCUGAGAGGAUGAUCAGUCACACUGGAACUGAGACACGGUCCAGACUCCUACGGGAGGCAGCAGUGGGGAAUAUUGGACAAUGGGCGGAAGCCUGAUCCAGCCAUGCCGCGUGUGUGAAGAAGGUCUUCGGAUCGUAAAGCACUUUAAGUUGGGAGGAAGGGCAGUAAGUUAAUACCUUGCUGUUUUGACGUUACCAACAGAAUAAGCACCGGCUAACUUCGUG
rnacentral:rRNA from 1 species